rnacentral:rRNA from 1 species
GAUGAACGCUGGCGGCGUGCCUAAUACAUGCAAGUCGAGCGAACAGACGAGGAGCUUGCUCCUCUGACGUUAGCGGCGGACGGGUGAGUAACACGUGGAUAACCUACCUAUAAGACUGGGAUAACUUCGGGAAACCGGAGCUAAUACCGGAUAAUAUAUUGAACCGCAUGGUUCAAUAGUGAAAGACGGUUUUGCUGUCACUUAUAGAUGGAUCCGCGCCGCAUUAGCUAGUUGGUAAGGUAACGGCUUAACAAGGCGACGAUGCGUAGCCGACCUGAGAGAGUGAUCGGCCACACUGAAACUGAAACACGGUCCAGACUCCUACGGGAGGCAGCAGUAGGGAAUCUUCCGCAAUGGGCGGAAGCCUGACGGAGCAACGCCACGUGAGUGAUGAAGGUCUUCGGAUCGUAAAACUCUGUUAUUAGGGAAGAACAAAUGUGUAAGUAACUAUGCACGUCUUGACGGUACCUAAUCAGAAAGCCACGGCUAACUACGUG